rnacentral:rRNA from 1 species
GUCGAACGGAAGGCCCUGCUUUUGUGGGGUGCUCGAGUGGCGAACGGGUGAGUAACACGUGAGUAACCUGCCCUUGACUUUGGGAUAACUUCAGGAAACUGGGGCUAAUACCGGAUAGGAGCUCCUGCUGCAUGGUGGGGGUUGGAAAGUUUCGGCGGUUGGGGAUGGACUCGCGGCUUAUCAGCUUGUUGGUGGGGUAGUGGCUUACCAAGGCUUUGACGGGUAGCCGGCCUGAGAGGGUGACCGGCCACAUUGGGACUGAGAUACGGCCCAGACUCCUACGGGAGGCAGCAGUGGGGAAUAUUGCACAAUGGGCGAAAGCCUGAUGCAGCAACGCCGCGUGCGGGAUGACGGCCUUCGGGUUGUAAACCGCUUUCGCCUGUGACGAAGCGUGAGUGACGGUAAUGGGUAAAGAAGCACCGGCUAACUACGUGCCAGCAGCCGCGGUGAUACGUAGGGUGCGAGCGUUGUCCGGAUUUAUUGGGCGUAAAGGGCUCGUAGGUGGUUGAUCGCGUCGGAAGUGUAAUCUUGGGGCUUAACCCUGAGCGUGCUUUCGAUACGGGUUGACUUGAGGAAGGUAGGGGAGAAUGGAAUUCCUGGUGGAGCGGUGGAAUGCGCAGAUAUCAGGAGGAACACCAGUGGCGAAGGCGGUUCUCUGGGCCUUUCCUGACGCUGAGGAGCGAAAGCGUGGGGAGCGAACAGGCUUAGAUACCCUGGUAGUCCACGCUGUAAACGGUGGGUACUAGGUGUGGGGUCCAUUCCACGGGUUCCGUGCCGUAGCUAACGCUUUAAGUACCCCGCCUGGGGAGUACGGCCGCAAGGCUAAAACUCAAAGGAAUUGACGGGGCCCCGCACAAGCGGCGGAGCAUGCGGAUUAAUUCGAUGCAACGCGUAGAACCUUACCUGGGUUUGACAUGGAUCGGGAGCGCUCAGAGAUGGGUGUGCCUCUUUUGGGGUCGGUUCACAGGUGGUGCAUGGCUGUCGUCAGCUCGUGUCGUGAGAUGUUGGGUUAAGUCCCGCAACGAGCGCAACCCUUGUUCACUGUUGCCAGCACGUUAUGGUGGGGACUCAGUGGAGACCGCCGGGGUCAACUCGGAGGAAGGUGGGGAUGACGUCAAGUCAUCAUGCCCCUUAUGUCCAGGGCUUCACGCAUGCUACAAUGGCUGGUACAGAGAGUGGCGAGCCUGUGAGGGUGAGCGAAUCUCGGAAAGCCGGUCUCAGUUCGGAUUGGGGUCUGCAACUCGACCUCAUGAAGUCGGAGUCGCUAGUAAUCGCAGAUCAGCAACGCUGCGGUGAAUACGUUCCCGGGGCUUGUACACACCGCCCGUCCCGUCAUGAAAGUUGGUAACACCCGAAGCC